UCCUAAUGGACAGAUGCCAGGAUUUGGC
rnacentral:piRNA from 1 species